rnacentral:lncRNA from 1 species
AUUCAACCGGCUGGAGGAGGGUUCGGAGCGGCUUCUUGAGAGGGUCGGGGAGCAGGCCGCGGCCAGCCUCAAGGAGCUGGAGGCGCACUACUACUCGUCGGUCCUGAGGACGAGCCCAAGCGAAGGCCCAUGAGGUCCAAAGCAACACCUUUAUCUCCCUGCCUUUGUUUUCUUCACUUGGUUUUGGAUUUUGCUUGAAUGCUUGAUGUGGCUCAUGAGGUCCAAAUCAACACCUUUAUCUCCCUGCCUUUGUUGUCUUCACUUGGUUUUGGAUUUUGCUUGAAUGCUUGAUGUGGCUCAGUUUGGCAUAUGAACAAAAUGCUACGAUCGGUUCCAGUUUAUAUACUUUUUCUUGUGACUGUGAAUUAAAGGUAUAGUUUGUUCGUAUAGAGCUGAAUUAUUUGUUGAAAAAGCAGGGGAACAUAUUUCUGAUUCAUAUCUUGUUUCAUUUCUGAAAAUUCAGAAGAAAUGCUAUGGAAAGUUUAUCUUCCUUUUGUCCAUUUAUUACAUGAUUCUUUCAUUUAGUUUCAGACUAUGUGAUAGACAUUCAUAUGUAGCACAAUAUGAUAAAGUUGGCACAUUUUGUAGAUUUACAGAUCAUUUUUCUAUUUCAUGGCUGC